GUGGAAGCUUCCUAAAACAGACCGAGACACACAACAAAUUUACACCACUGACCUGUUCAGAGACCUUAAGCUUUUGUUUCAACUGUCCAAUUUUUUAAAGUACACAUAAAAUUAGAAGAAUACUAAGAUACUUAAGAAUAGGAUGAAUACCAUGAGAAUUAAUGAUAACAAAAUUAAACAGCUCUUUUGGAAUUCUUAGAAGGAAAACUAAAUCCAAGAAUUUUUUUCCUAAUUACUGCUUUGGGCAUACACUAAUUCAGUCCUAAUCUAUGCGGUUCAGGGUUCUCUCGUGAAGUAACCACUUUUUUUCAGUCUUUUUAUUUUUAAAAAGUAAAAAAUAUUUUGGCCUUGUAGCAUGCUGGACGUUAGUUCCCUGUCUAGGGGUGGACCCCGUGCCCCGCGGCAGUGGAAGCGUGCAGUCUUAGCCAUUGGGCUGCCAGGGAAGGCCCAUCUCAGUCGUUUCACAUUUCUGUGGGAGUUUCUUCAGAACUCUUAAGUGAACCCAGCUGACCUUGCCUUCCUUUAAACACAAAGGUGGUACAUCCCAGUUGUAGCUACCCUGUUUCCAUCCGUUCCUGCCGUCACCCUUUCUCCUGCCUCAAUGUGAGUUCUAAUCUCCGUAAGAAGUUUUCAGGGCCCAAAGCCACAGCAUCUGCGUCAUCAUGCGGACUUCCUGAUUUUCUGGGUGUUAUUGUUACCUUCUAGGGUUAGUUGUAUUAUCCUGAAGGAACUGUGUUUUGUUCAUGAGGCAUGUGGGAUCAUAGUUGCCUGACCAACAACUGAACCCGUACCGCCUGCAAUGGAAGGCAAAGUCUGAACCACUGGACCACCAGCAAGUUCCUGAGUAUAUAUUUAAAAAAAAUUUUCUUACUGUGACUGAGACUGAACAUCGUUUCAGGCAUCUGAGUCAUUUGAAUUACCCUUUUUGUGAACUGUUCUUUCCUUUUGUUCAUUUUUGGUUGACCUUAUUUUUUGUUGAUAUUUAGGCGGUCUGUGCCUAUUAAAUGACAUCAAUAUACGUGUACCUUACAUGUACAUAUAUUGAUAUGUGUAUUAAGAUAUGUGUACCUUAUUGACUAUGAGGUACACAUAUUUUUACUGGUAUGCCUACACUUUUUCUCUCUGCAUAAUUUUUUGGCCAAAUACUUUAUUUUUAUUUCUUUAUUUAACUGAAGCAUAGUUGACUUACAAUGUUGUGUUAAUGUCUAUUGCACAGCAAAGUGAUUCAGUUACAUGUAUACAUAUGUUCUUUUUUAUAUUCUUUUCCAUUCUG
ensembl:lncRNA